AUUGAACGCUGGCGGCAGGCCUAAUACAUGCAAGUCGAGCGGAUGAAGGGAGGUUGCCUCUGUAUUCAGCGUCGCACGGGUGUGUAAUGUAUAGGAACCUGCUUGGUAGUGGGGGAUAAAGUAUGGCUACGGGCGGUAAUUCCGCCUACGUCCUGAGUGGGAAAGCGUGGGCUCUUCGUACAUCACGCUAUCAGAUGAGCCGAGGUCUGAUUAGCUAUUUGUUGGGGUAAAGGCCUACCAAGGAGACGAUCCGUAACUGGUCUGAGAGGAUGAUCAGUCACACUGGAACGGAGACACGAGCCAGACUCCUACGGUAGGCAAGGGUGCAGAAUAUUAUACAAUGGGCUAAAGGCAGAUCCAGCCAUGCCGCGUGGGGGAAGAAAGGCCUGGGAUUGGAAAGCACUGUAAGGUGGGAGGAAAAGCAGUAAGUUAAGACCAUACUGAUUUGACGUUACCAACAGAAUAAGCACCGGCUAACUUCGUG
rnacentral:rRNA from 1 species